rnacentral:antisense_RNA from 1 species
AAGACUACAAUGCCAGCAUCUGGGAUAACUACUAGAAUGUUCUCUGCCAUCCACUAAGCAUUGAAUCCCUCCAGACACUGUUACAACAGACAAAAACCUGUACUGGGCUAC